rnacentral:snRNA from 1 species
GUGCUCACUUCAGCAGCACAUACACUAAAACUGGAAAAAUACAUAGAUUAGCAUGUCUCCUGUGCAAGGAUGACAUGCAGAUUUGUGAAGGAUUUCAUAUAUAA